rnacentral:rRNA from 1 species
GACGAACGCUGGCGGCGUGCCUAAUACAUGCAAGUCGAGCGAGCGGAACUAACAGAUUUACUUCGGUAAUGACGUUAGGAAAGCGAGCGGCGGAUGGGUGAGUAACACGUGGGGAACCUGCCCCAUAGUCUGGGAUACCACUUGGAAACAGGUGCUAAUACCGGAUAAGAAAGCAGAUCGCAUGAUCAGCUUUUAAAAGGCGGCGUAAGCUGUCGCUAUGGGAUGGCCCCGCGGUGCAUUAGCUAGUUGGUAAGGUAAAGGCUUACCAAGGCGAUGAUGCAUAGCCGAGUUGAGAGACUGAUCGGCCACAUUGGGACUGAGACACGGCCCAAACUCCUACGGGAGGCAGCAGUAGGGAAUCUUCCACAAUGGACGCAAGUCUGAUGGAGCAACGCCGCGUGAGUGAAGAAGGUUUUCGGAUCGUAAAGCUCUGUUGUUGGUGAAGAAGGAUAGAGGUAGUAACUGGCCUUUAUUUGACGGUAAUCAACCAGAAAGUCACGGCUAACUACGUGCCAGCAGCCGCGGUAAUACGUAGGUGGCAAGCGUUGUCCGGAUUUAUUGGGCGUAAAGCGAGCGCAGGCGGAAGAAUAAGUCUGAUGUGAAAGCCCUCGGCUUAACCGAGGAACUGCAUCGGAAACUGUUUUUCUUGAGUGCAGAAGAGGGGAGUGGAACUCCAUGUGUAGCGGUGGAAUGCGUAGAUAUAUGGAAGAACACCAGUGGCGAAGGCGGCUCUCUGGUCUGCAACUGACGCUGAGGCUCGAAAGCAUGGGUAGCGAACAGG